rnacentral:rRNA from 1 species
GCGGCUGCUUACCUGGCGUCGACGGCAGCACGGGUGCUUGCACCUGGUGGCGAGUGGCGAACGGGUGAGUAAUACAUCGGAACAUGUCCUGUAGUGGGGGAUAGCCCGGCGAAAGCCGGAUUAAUACCGCAUACGAUCUACGGAUGAAAGCGGGGGACCUUCGGGCCUCGCGCUAUAGGGUUGGCCGAUGGCUGAUUAGCUAGUUGGUGGGGUAAAGGCCUACCAAGGCGACGAUCAGUAGCUGGUCUGAGAGGACGACCAGCCACACUGGGACUGAGACACGGCCCAGACUCCUACGGGAGGCAGCAGUGGGGAAUUUUGGACAAUGGGCGAAAGCCUGAUCCAGCAAUGCCGCGUGUGUGAAGAAGGCCUUCGGGUUGUAAAGCACUUUUGUCCGGAAAGAAAUCCUUGGCUCUAAUACAGUCGGGGGAUGACGGUACCGGAAGAAUAAGCACCGGCUAACUACGUGCCAGCAGCCGCGGUAAUACGUAGGGUGCGAGCGUUAAUCGGAAUUACUGGGCGUAAAGCGUGCGCAGGCGGUUUGCUAAGACCGAUGUGAAAUCCCCGGGCUCAACCUGGGAACUGCAUUGGUGACUGGCAGGCUAGAGUAUGGCAGAGGGGGGUAGAAUUCCACGUGUAGCAGUGAAAUGCGUAGAGAUGUGGAGGAAUACCGAUGGCGAAGGCAGCCCCCUGGGCCAAUACUGACGCUCAUGCACGAAAGCGUGGGGAGCAAACAGGAUUAGAUACCCUGGUAGUCCACGCCCUAAACGAUGUCAACUAGUUGUUGGGGAUUCAUUUCCUUAGUAACGUAGCUACGCGUGAAGUUGACCGCCUGGGGAGUACGGUCGCAAGAUUAAAACUCAAAGGAAUUGACGGGGACCCGCACAAGCGGUGGAUGAUGUGGAUUAAUUCGAUGCAACGCGAAAACCUUACCUACCCUAGACAUGGUCGGAAUCCCGCUGAGAGGUGGGAGUGCUCGAAAGAGAACCGAUCGCCACUGGGGCUUGGUCCGCCCCACCUUCCGCGGUGAAGGGUUGGGUAAAGUCCCGCAACGAGCGCAACCCUUGUCCUUAGUUGUUACGCAAGAGCACUCUAAGGAGACUGCCGGUGACAAACCGGAGGAAGGUGGGGAUGACGUCAAGUCCUCAUGGCCCUUAUGGGUAGGGGUUCACACGUCAUACAAUGGUCGGAACAGAGGGUUGCCAACCCGCGAGGGGGAGGUAAUCCCAGAAAACCGAUCGUAGUCCGGAUUGCACUCUGCAACUCGAGUGCAUGAAGCUGGAAUCGCUAGUAAUCGCGGAUCAGCAUCCCGCGGUGAAUACGUUCCCGGGUCUUGUACACCCCGCCCGUCACCCCAUGGGAGUGGGUUUUACCAGAAGUGGCUAGUUUAACCGCAAGGAGGACGGUCACCAC